rnacentral:rRNA from 1 species
CAGAGGGUGCGAGCGUUAAUCGGAUUUACUGGGCGUAAAGCGUGUGUAGGUGGCUUCCUAAGUCGGUUGUGAAAUCCCUGGGCUCAACCUGGGAAUUGCAGUCGAUACUGGGAAGCUCGAGUUCGGUAGAGGACGGCGGAAUUCCCGGUGUAGCGGUGAAAGUGCGUAGAUAUCGGGAGGAACAUCGAUGGCGAAAGCAACCGUCUGGGCCUGAACUGACACUGAGACACGAAAGCGUGGGGAGCAAACAGGAUUAGAUACCCUGGUAGUCCACGCCGUAAACGAUGAGAACCUGACGUCGGUUUGCUCUGCGAAUCGGUGUCGUAGCUAACGCGAUAAGUUCUCCGCCUGGGGAGUACGGCCGCAAGGUUG